CACGUAGGGGGCAAGCGUUGUCCGGAUUUAUUGGGCGUAAAGAGCUCGUAGGUGGUUCGGUAAGUCAGGUGUGAAACCUCCAGGCUCAACCUGGAGACGCCACUUGAUACUGCUGUGACUGGAGUCCGGUAGGGGAGCGUGGAAUUCCUGGUGUAGCGGUGAAAUGCGUAGAUAUCAGGAAGAACACCGGUGGCGAAAGCGCUCUGCUAGGCCGCAACUGACACUGAGGGACGAAAGCUAGGGGAGCGAAUGGG
rnacentral:rRNA from 1 species